CCUACGGGAGGCAGCAGUGAGGAAUAUUGGUCAAUGGGCGCGAGCCUGAACCAGCCAAGUAGCGUGAAGGAUGACUGCCCUACGGGUUGUAAAUUUCUUUUAUAAAGGAAUAAAGUGAGGCACGUGUGCCUUUUUGUAUGUACUUUAUGAAUAAGGAUCGGCUAACUCCGUCCCAGCAGCCGCGGUAAUACGGAGGAUGCGAGCGUUAUCCGGAUUUAUUGGGUUUAACGGGUCCGCAGGCGGAAGCGGAAAGUCAGCGGUAAACGUGCGGGGCUAACCCUCGCAGAGCAGUUGAAACGGCUCUGCUAGAGUGGGCGAGAAGUAUGCGGAAUGCGUGGUGUAGCGGUGAAAUGCAUAGAUAUCACGCAGAACUCCGAUUGCGAAGGCAGCAUACCGGAGCCCAACUGACGCUCAUGCACGAAAGCGUGGGUAUCGAACAGGAUUAGAUACCCCUGUAGUC
rnacentral:rRNA from 1 species